rnacentral:rRNA from 1 species
UACGUAGGGUCCGAGCGUUGUCCGGAAUUAUUGGGCGUAAAGGGCUCGUAGGCGGUUCGUCACGUCGGGAGUGAAAACUCGGAGCUUAACUCCGAGCCUGCUUCCGAUACGGGCAGACUAGAGGUAGGCAGGGGAGAGCGGAACUCCUGGUGUAGCGGUGGAAUGCGUAGAUAUCACUUGGAACGCCAAUGGUGAAGACAGCUCGCUGGGGGUGUCCUGACGCUGAGGCGCGAAAGCCAGGGGAGCGAACGGG